rnacentral:rRNA from 1 species
AUUGAACGCUGGCUGCAUGCUUAACACAUGCAAGUCGAGCGAGCGGCGGACGGGUGAGUAAUGUCUGGGAAACUGCCUGCUGGAUGGGGAUAACUACUGGAAACGGUAGCUAAUACCGCAUACCCUCAGAUGUGCCCAGAUGGGAUUAGCUAGUAGGUGGGGUAAUGGCUCACCUAGGCGACGAUCCCUAGCUGGUCUGAGAGGAUGACCAGCCACACUGGAAAUGAGACACGGUCCAGACUCCUACGGGAGGCAGCAGUGGGGAAUAUUGCACAAUGGGCGCAAGCCUGAUGCAGCCAUGCCGCGUGUAUGAAGAAGGCCUUCGGGUUGUAAAGUACUUUCAGCGAGGAGGCGUUACUAGCAGAAGAAGCACCGGCUAACUCCGUGCCAGCAGCCGCGGUAAUUC